AAUAAUUGUCUAAGUCUUGUUCCCAAUAGCUCAGUGGUUUUAUAACAAGUAAAAAUGGCGUAAAUAUGUAAAAAAAAUAUAUAUAUAUGUGUGUGUAUAUAUUCAAACUGAUAGGCACUGAGCACACAGGGCCUCUCUUCCCAUGUAUGUAUUGGUUGUUCGGUUUGAGUAGUUAUUGAAUCAGAAAAAUGAAUUAUGUGGCCAUCAGAAUUCAGAGUAAAAUAUCUAUAAAUUUAUGGUAUAAAUAAUUUGGUGCACUAAGAAGCCUACUUUAGGCCACCAUAAUAUUCAGAAUCUCAACAUACUAAUUUAAAAAUUACAUGAAAAACCGAAUAAAUUCACAACUUUAUAUCCUCUCUAUAGACAGAUAUAUUUUUAUAUAAGUUAAAGCAAUGACCCUCCAGCUCUUUCUUGCACUUUGCUGUUUUAAGAGGUAAAAAGGAAGAAAAUGGUUCUGCUUGUCCCCAGCCUGAGUGAUGCCAGCUUCUAGAGGGAGGGCGGUGUACACACUCGAGACACUGUCACGGAGAAGCUCUGGCCAGACCUGGCACAUACAGCACGAUGGCUGUCACCGCAACCAGGGCGGCCAGCAUGGGCAUCCAGGGCCAGGGUUUCUGUGUGGAAAGAAACCGAGAGUCAAUAUCACAUUCUCCCCGUCUCUUUUCAUAUAUAUUUAACCCCUUGGUGAACUGAGUCCCAUGGAUAAAAGACUAUCAGAAAACUUUGCGCUUGCAUUAAUAAGGUAAGUGUAGAAAGAAAGGAAAUGAGGGAGAACCACACCAGCGGGACCAUCAUGUGAAGCCUGAACAGCCCAGGAAAGUUCUGGACAGCUUCCAAGUUUGUUACUUCUAAAUACAGUUCUGGGCUGUGCCUGCCACACACAUUUACUGUGUGCCUGCAGUACAAUUCUGCUCAACAGUUUAUGAAAACCAGAGUUCUAAGAUGGGAUAGAUGGAUGGUGCAGGCUUGAUCCGAAAAAGACACAAAUCAGAUGAGGUUCUGGAGGACAGUGGCACUAAGGCCCUGCCCAUAGGAUUCCUCUGAUAAGCAUACUCUAUUAUCACCUAAAGGCAAAGCACAGAUGGGCUUCCCAGUCAGCUUUCAGAGGAUUUAUAAAAUCCAUUUACUUUGGUUGCUACCUUUAUUCUCACUGGUAUUCUGACAGUACUCUUGAGAAAUAUUCUUAAUUUGCAGAUCAAAGCUCAAAAAGGUUUGUUAUAGAGCUUGCUUAAAUCACACAUGUAAAUUCUCACUGCGGUUGAAACUGUGAGCCAAUGGUCCAUUAGACUAGUCUCACUUUCUUUUGUCUUCACAGCAAACAGGCAAAGGAUUAAAGGGAAAAAACUCUACACCAUGGAUGGGAAGGAAGAAAGGAAGGGUAACACAGCUGGCUAAAAGUUCAAAGAUGCAAACUCUUCAUUUCUCAUUCAGAUCUGAUUGAACAUAACUGGGACAUGGGUGGCGCUAUUGCAGAAACUCACUGCUUACUCCAGUUUGCUAGAGAUAAAGACUCAGUUAAAGGAAGCAUAUUAACAAGAGGUUAACGUAGGGUUAAUUCAUGUUAGCAUUACUACAAAAGAAACAAGACACAAUGUUAUGUGAUUAGUUGAUUGUUCAUUAAUAUGACACAAAUACACAGCAUACUAAAUGAAGGGUUUGCGUCAGGUAAAUAACAUAUCUGUGUGGUUUUGCCAUGCACUCUAUUACAAAUAUGGCACAAACAGGUGACAGUGACAAAUAGACAAGGACUCAACAGUAGUGCUUGUACCUUUCUCUACCACAAUGGACCGAAACACCAAAACAGGAAAGCCAGGAAUAGGCCGAUGAAUACGGCUGGGACAGGUUGUAAUAUGGUGGGCUGAAGAAGGGAAGGGAUAUUAAAAUCAUUUUAUGCUAUGAAAACAAUCAGAUAAGAUGAUUUAGACCCCAGGGGGUGGUUGGAGAAGAAGAAGAGGAAGACUGAAGUAACAGAAGUACACCAUUCAGGUUUUGCACCAAUUCAAACAUUUUAAAGACAUCUAACACAAUCCAGAAUGAUGGGCUGGGACACAUAUGCUAAGAAAUGACUACUUCAAAAGGAGCAGCUGGAGGCAAGAGUCAACGUACUUGUCCACAAAUAUCCUAAUGAAAUGUGACAAGUUCAGACAGAGCACGGAUGUCAGUUUAUCAAGAAAUGCUCUGUUUGACAAUAUAUUAUUUUUGUUUCAUAUCUGAAGUCUACUAGUUAAUAGAUAGGUUUCCAUGGCAAUGGAUAGGGUAUAUUUUGUUCUUUCAUUGAAACCCAUUUUCCUUCCAACCGAAAUUCUUUCACUUUUGAGAUGGUAUUGCUUUAAAGCUUAAAAAUACAUGUUUUGUGAUAAUGUGAACCCGAUGGGUCAAGAGGUGUGGCACAAUGUAUGAUAAAUGGGUAGCCAAAGCCAAAGAAUACUUUCCUUUAUUCUAACCAUAUCUGAUUUUUUUUUUAAAGGGGAAAGGAAUUACUUGGAAAUAUAAGCCUAUAUGGUGAAAAAGGUAAAUUCAUCCUGAAGGUGAAUAGUUUUAUAUGACAAUAAAUAGUAAGAGCACAGGAAGGGUCAUUCUGAUCAUGCAAGAUGUCUUUGUAGGUUAAUUUAGCAGGAAGUGGACUGAAAUUCUAUAAUCAGGUAUGAAUUAACACAAAAGAAAAGAUAUCAAAUCAUUAUGAUCUGAUUUUAGAAGAUUUCUAUAUUCUAUGCAUUAAAAAAAUAAAUGUAAUCCGCUUUUGUUUAGCAUUAAGUCUUCAAUCCUUCCAUUUCUAAAGGGCUCCUACCUAACCUGCAAUCUUUUAUUGUCUAAAAUCUGUAACUUUAGUAAGCAAAGGACAGCUGGACACAACUCGUGAGCAUUCUGUGAAAACUGCAUAACUGGAUGGCCAUGCAACAUCGUUCAUCUGUGCUUGUGCUGCAAGGCAGGCCUCAAGCUCUUCUACGGGCGUAAGUCAAAGGGGCAAAUUCUUUAAAAAGAAGGAAAGAAAUCCCACGGCACAGAAGUUCUACCACAGCUAUUCAUCAUGAACAGCUCCCUUCUCCCGCGCCCAGGCUGUUAGAUUCUGAAAGCCAUCCUCAGGCCUCCGACACCCCGCUCAACGGAAGCUGAGCUGAGCUGAUGCUGCAGCUUACUGAAGACGAGGUUCCCAAAGGGACACUGUUCUGCUGCUGGCAUGCCUCUGUCUCCACUUCUGCUGCCCCAUUCUGCCAUCUCUGAGUGUUUCAGAAGGAAGACAGGAAGACAAGGACUGAAUAGGAAAUCAAUAUCCCAAGAGUGUGGUCUAUCAGAAAGGCUCCUCCUCUUGUUCUCAGCACAGCUUAGGAAAAUGGAAGAAACAAGCACAAAGACAGAAGAACAAUCAUUUCCAAACUCAGGAUACUCCAGGCAAAGUGCAAAGAGAAACUUGCAUUAAUCUUAUUUCCUAAAAACAACUUCCAGAAAAUUCAUUUGUAAAGACAAAGCGCUGUCUUCUACUUCCUUCUAUCGUAUGAAGAAUCUUGCCUGUAAGCAAGUCUACGGCUAGUACUUCCUUAUGAGCACACAGGCUUUAUUAACCUGCAUCCUUAGCUGACAGGAGUCAGUGCAGGAAGGCCAGCAGGAGUGAACACAACUUUUACUGCCCUGUUGUCAGCUUUAAAUUGCAUCUAUCCUGUUCAGAAAGACCUGGGCCUUACUGAGAAGAGUUUUUAAGUCAGCUGAGUCACGAAGAUGUUGCUCUUUCAAGGAUCCCACUUGGUUCUCGAGCUCUUUCCUGGUCAUCUGGAGGAUGCUGAGGUCACUUGUGAGCUCCAAACUCUGCUUCUGAGAACUGCAAUAUAAACAUGGACAGUCAUUCACAGCAGACCCUGGCCACAAAGAGAGCCCAGGAUCCUUAGCAUUUCACUAGGUGAGAGGGAGUGAAUUUCACAGCAGAAAAAAAGGUAUAAAAAAGUAAGACGCGCUCAGUAAGGAAAAGACAUUAAAGCACUUCCAAAAAUCCCUUCAAGUUUAAAGCUAUAUCCUUUCAAAUGUACAUCAAAGUAGAAAUUUUAUAAAUAGAAGGAAAUGA